UACGAGUGCCUCAAGCGUUAUCCGGAAUCAUUGGGCGUAAAGGAUGUGUAGGUGGCUGUGUUAGUCUCUCGUUAAAUUCUUCGGCUUAACCGGGGGUCUGCGGGGGAAACGGCACAACUAGAGGAUGCAAGGGGUCUGCGGAACUCAUAGUGUAGCGGUGAAAUGCGUUGACAUUAUGGGGAACACCAAAAGCGAAGGCAGCAGACUAGGGCGCUACUGACACUGAAACAUGAAAGCGUGGGUAGCGAAUGGG
rnacentral:rRNA from 1 species